CGGGCAGGAGCGAGACCGUGCAGACUGCGUCUUCCCCACGAACCCUAGCCGCGUUCUCGCCUCCUCCUCCAUCCGCGCCGCCUCCUCGCCUCCUCCUCCAUCCGCGCCGCCUCCUCCUCCUCUCCUCCUCCAUCCGCGCGCCUCGGUGGCGACCCCAUGGAGGGCGGCCGGGUCGGAGCGACCCCCCGCGUCCCUUCUUCCCCGCUCGGCGCUCUCUACUCCCAGCGCAGCUGCCGGCUCCCUCCGCUCUUCCCAUCUCGCCAGAGCCGCCGCACCCAGAGGCGACCGGCGUUGCUCCAUCUCGAGCUGCCCGUUCUCUCUCCCCCGACGGCCGGCGCAGGAGAGAGAAAGAGGAGAGGGAUGUGGCGGCGGACGGGAGAGGGUCGACCUCGCGGUCGGUGGCUGCUUGAUCUGAGAGAAAGAGGAGAGGGAGGUGUGGCGGCGGACGGGGGAGGGCCGACCUCGCGGUCAGUGGCGGCUCGAUCUCUACAAGAAAGAAGGGGUUUGAACUCCUCCCCUGUGAGCAUGGGAGGGUGAGAAGAACAGAGGUGGAGGCAGGACCGCGAUGCCGGAGCUCUAGGCGUCGCUCGCGUUGUCGUGGAGUGGAGAAGUGUCGCCGGCCAUGACUGAUGGUCGUUGCUCACUGGUCGUCAUCCCCUGUCCCCAAUCCAGAUCUGAGAAAGUAGAGGAGAGGAAGAAUCCUGAGGAAGAGUUUGAUGAAAGGGUUCUCUCUCUCUCUCUCUCUCUCAAAGUCAAGUUUUUUCUGCAUUCUGAUAUUUGUUUGUUUUAGCCAUGUUUAGAUUAGUUUCUAUGUAUGCCAACUAUUUUGUUUACUUAUAUUCCAGCGACCUAUGUUCCAUACUGAAUGCAUAUUUGUGCAGUGGUUCUUAGUUAUAUUCUGAUAAAGAGAGAAAGAAUUGGGGAUAGAGGUAUAAGGCCUUAGAUUCUUUGCCUCCAACAGAAGAAAUGAUUCAUGUGUGCCUCCCUUUUUGUUAUAUCUUACAUAUUUUUUUACCUGGGCAGAUAUCACAUAGUCAUGGUUGGCAGCUAAUAUCCAAAAUUUUAGUGUUGUUAGUACACUGAGGUUUAUCUUAUUUUGGUAAAGGUUUUGUCUAUCAAGAACUACAUAUACUCGACAUGGUGUCGUGGUAUCUAUAGUUGUUGUGGAGCCUGCUGGUAUUCUCACCUUCCACUGCCUCUUUCCCCUCUCUGCGCCUAUGCAAGCUACAUUGGAAGAAUCCAUGUAUUUAGUUGUGGCAUGUUUGGCAGCUACAGCAGCUUGAUAAUUAAUUAGUUCUCAUCCAAGCCGCCGCCGCACAUCCCGCUCGUAGAUGGCUAGGCGGUGCGCUGUUCGGAUCAUCCCCGCGCGGCGGACCCGAUCCAAGCGAGAAGCAGCAAUCCGGUAUCUUGGUGUCGCUCCUGCCGUCAAUGUUCCGGCCGGCCGGCAGUACUGCAGGUCGUACAUCGCGGCACCGAAGCCUCGGCUAGUCGGCUGCCCCACCGCCCCCAACCUGCCAGGAUCUCUCUCCACCGUACGUCGGAUACCCUACUGCCUGAGUCAGCGCCGCCGGCGACCUUCCCUCCCACUACAGGUUGAAGAGCUAUUGUUUCAGUUCGUCCAUGACCCUUAUGGGGCUGUGGGGGAUGUUGCACUCAGAGAACUUGUUUCUUGCAGUAGUAGGAUGAACUGGAUCAGAUAUUGGAAGUGGUACUGUCACAUAUCCUGGCAUCUGCUCAGCCUGCAGCAUGGCACAUGAGUCUUCGACAUCAUUGAGGAUUUCUGCAUCGGCAAAUUGGAAGACUGAUGUGGAAUAGGAGAGGAUGUAAAAGCUCCCAAGUGUGAACCCAUGUGCUCGUCUGCAUUUCCUUGAAGAUGAUGAGAACGAACAAAACCAUUUCGUAAUUGUGAUGAGGACUGCUCCAGGGCCCAGCUUUGUGGUUCCGAUCACAUGUUUGACCUCCUGCUUACUCUGGUACAUGGUCUCCAUCCACCCAUCGUCAACAUAUGGCCUCGCCGGAUCGCCAGACAACACCGUCAUCUACGUCUGUCUCGCGUGACAGGCACUGUCCUCGACCUCUGCGUCACAGUUAAUUGUGUACUAGUAAUUCCUUUGGGGAACUUGUUACAGUUAUUCUAACUCCGCCAUGUAUCCAUGAACUUGUUAGAUUCUGAAUAUGUAAUUUUCCAGACAGUCGGGUAGCAUUCAAGUGCUCCGUAUGCGCCAACA